rnacentral:rRNA from 1 species
UACGUAGGGGGCAAGCGUUAUCCGGAUUUACUGGGUGUAAAGGGAGCGUAGGCGGUGAUGCAAGUCAGAAGUGAAAGCCCGCAGCUCAACUGCGGGACUGCUUUUGAAACUGUAUGACUAGACUGCAGGAGAGGUAAGUGGAAUUCCUAGUGUAGCGGUGAAAUGCGUAGAUAUUAGGAGGAACACCAGUGGCGAAGGCGGCUUACUGGACUGUAAAUGACGCUGAGGCUCGAAAGCGUGGGGAGCAAACAGG